CCCGGGGCAGAGUGGCUCGUCCGCGGCCUCGCUGCCCCGUCGGGCCCCAUCGGACCCCGCUCCAACCGUCCCCGCUUCGGCCGCCCACCCUCCCCUCGUCCGCGCCGGAAAGGCCGCCUCACCUGCUCGGCAGCGUCCGACUCGGCGGUCGGGGUUCCCGGGAGCGGGGACCCGCGAGCGGAGCGCAUCACGGCCACCGCGGCGAGGCGGCGCCGGCAAUGCAGUCGCGGCUUCCCGGCAGCAGCUUCCCAGCAGCUCCGCUCCUUUCCCGCAGCCGGACCGCCAAAACACCACCCCGUAGCCACCCGCGUCGCGUCACCGGGAGCGGCGGGAGCGCGCACGCCGCGGGGCGGGGCCUGCGCCGCCAUGACUGGCAUCCGAGCGCAGCGCUCUUCCGCGGAACCACGCGGGUGCAGCUGAGCUCAGGGACUGCCGAAAGUGAAAGUGGCAUCACGGAAAUAACCAGUACUGUGGCUUGGUUACCGCCGAUCCUACAGCGCGCUUAUGACACCAAAGGUCCUGAAACAAAAGUCUCUAAAGGCAACACAGCUCCGGGUGGCCCUUGCUUUGACGCGGAGUGAGACUUUGAGAUCUCAAAACCCAAAAAAGGCCUCUCACAGGAAACAUCCUGACCAGACCCACCAGUGAAUGACUACAAGAAAGAAGAAACUAGCACAUUCCCACCAAAGUCUGCCUGGAACCAGGACUUUACCCCCUCCCCUUUUAGUAUAGAAGAAGCCUGAAUUCUAAUUCGGAGAAGGUAGUUCUUUGGGAUACUAGUCCCCCAUCUUCUCCGUCUACUGGCUUUCCUAGUAAAGUCGCUAUUCCUUGCCUCAACAACUUGUCUCUCAGUUUAUCAUCCCAUCCUGGGGUGCACAGCACGAGCUUGGACUCAGUAACGAUGCUAUCAUGAGGUAUUAACCCGCUUGCUUUCCAAAGCAGCUAGUAAGUAUUUACCGGUGCUCACUGAAUAGUGAGUUAAGGACAGGGACAAUCAUUAGAUACUUAGAAUGGUCUUUACCAUUAUUUCCUGGUGACAGGAUUGCCAGCUUUGUGGAGGCACCAUGGUGGGGCUCAAAGAAGUAUCAUCUGCUCUACCUUCCAGAACAACCGUAGCAACCUAAACAUAAAACAUAGAAUAUAAAUCAACUACUUCUGUUCUAAUAAUUCUGACAUGGAAUUGGAAGAGCAGUUGGAGACGUCACUGAAGAGUAGAUGUGAGGCUUGAACCAGACCUUAAAAGAGAGAAAGAAAUGAUCAAAUGAGAGGUAGACAUGUGGGAUGUACCUGAGGCCUGCAGUUGGAUCCUGCCAUAAACAGCUUGCAUGCUGUUGAAGUAAAUUUGGGGUCCCAUUAAAUAUCUUCUUUUUUUUAUAAAUUUAUUUUUAUUUU